ensembl:lncRNA
AGGAAUAACUGACUCUUUUCUUGUUAUGAAAAGUAUUUAGCUACUGGUAUAACAGACCAUGGGGCUUGGAGUCAGAAAGAUUCAUUUUCCUGAAUUUAAAUCUUGUCUCAGACACUAACUGUGUGACCCUGGGCAAGUUACUUAAUUGUAUUUGACUAAAUUUCUUCAUCUGUAAACUGAGCUGGAGAAGGAAAUCACUGAUGACGGAUAUAACUACAGGCUAAAAAAUGCAUUGCUUCGGCCUGGGGAUUCCUAGUGUUAAAGAGUUGGAGAAACACAGCUGGAAGAGGAACCAGGAGGUUGGUAUACCCACCCUAGAUUCUUAAAAGUGUCCUAAAUCAGGAGAGAGCCUCUAACUCAUUUUCAUCCUAUCCCCCUCACUGUUAAUAUCUAAGGCCACCGAAGGUGGAAACCUAUUCAUCUUUCAGGAUUACGCUCUGCCAGGGAGGAGGGGUGAAGUGGUCUAAGCACCCACGUACUGACUCUGGGAGGCAGCAACAGUGGCGGAUCCCAAGACUGCUGUUGUUGCUGCAAACCGGUCUCUCUUCCUUGCAGGGUGUGCAGAGAUGGAGAAAGGGGGAGGAGAAAAAAGGGGAAGCGCCUGGGCCUUGGCCGCCAGCGGGCGGGGCCUCCAGUGCCUAACAGCUAGUUUGGUCUUUCUGCGGCUCUCGCGCACUGCGCUCGGGCAGCCGUAGCCGCAGCCGCAGUCGGAGCCGGAGCCUUCAGCCUCAGCUUCAGCCUCAGCCUCCGACUCCUGGGCGAUGUCAGUUGUUUCACGCUUCCUCUAACCCUCUGCACUAGGAGGAGGAGGUGGAGAAAGAAAUACAAGAGGAAAGGACUACGUUACAAGAGACUUUAUUGCCUUAGGAAGAGAGGUGCAUGGUAUUUGCUGCUCAGCUUCAAAACCAGGCAAUUGGUGGCUCUUCUCUGGCCCCAGUGACCAACUGGGAAAGGAAGGAAAAAGAACUGGAGACGCGCGCCCCCCCCCCCCCCCCCCACUCCCUCCAUACACGCACGCACGCACACACACACAGUUUUAAGAGAGUUUGCACAGAGAGCUGAAAAGCUUCAGCCCUUCACUCCCAGUUCCAGCCCCAGCUGUUCUGAGGCUCCGGUCGGCGUUGCUAUCCGCCUUCUCACCUCUUCUCGACUUCCUCCAGUCCCGGCCAGCCUGCAGCUCGUCAGCUUCUCCUCUCUCUACUUCCUCUUAUCAGUCCAGCUGCUUCUCAGUCCAAGAGGAGCCACCACCGCAGCAGCAGCAGCAGCAACAACAACAGCAACAUCCCCGGAACUAACAGACUGUGGCGCAACUGGUCUGGGGAGCGCAGGCCCUGAGAUCCUACCCCAAGAGAGAACAAUAAUAAAGCUUCCAGAUUGGGGGAAUUAAUGGUAUAAUGGAAAGAGCCAUGACCUUAGAAGUAAAAUUACUCAAAGGACCUGAGUUCCUCUGAGUCCUGUCUCUACCACUUAUCAGCUGAGGUAUGUUGAGUAACUCCCUUCUCUACCCUAGGACACACUCUCUCUCUCUUACUCUCUCUCUCAUUCUCUUUCUCUCUCACUGUCUCUCUCUGUCUCUGUCUCUCUUUUUUUCUCUCUAACUUGAUAAUUCUUUUAAACAUAAUUCCAUAUUUGUCAUGCUGUGCAAGAACAAUCAGACCAAAAGGGGAAAAAAUGAGAAAAAAAAAAACAAAGAAAGAAACAGAGGUGAAAAAUACUAUGCUUUCAUCCACAUUCAGUCUCCAUAGUUCUCUCUUUGGAUGUGGAUGAUCUCUCUUUCCAAUCCCAAGGCUAUAAGUAGAAAGCCAUGCUAAAUGCAAAGAUGCAUUUGGAUUUCUUAUCAUUACACUUAAUAGAUAACACAUCUACAACACUUUACAGUUUGCAAAGCACUUUACAAAUAUAUUAAUGCAGUUUUUUUUUUCUUAGAAGCUGUAAAUAAAAUCACAGAAGAGUGAGCAAGAAACAGGAGGUCCCAAAGUCUCUAUACUAGCCCGUUGUCAUUACCAGUGGAUUUCAAUAAGAGCAAAAUCACAGCAAAAAUGAGGGGACUGGAUAAUGACCCCUUACAGCUCUAACAUUUAGUUUUUCAAGUUUGACAUUCUAUGUAGCCCCUUGUUUCCCAAGUCAGGAAACCAGUUUUGAGCCAUUCACAGCUUUCUGACUGUCAUGUGUAUCUGUGGCAGUAAACCUUUCUUUAAAUGAUAUAGCUUCCUAGAUGAGGAGGAGGAGAGUUGGACUGUCUGGGUGAAACAGCCUAAAAGAAGGUUCCAAAUGAUAAACAUGUGGGUGUAACAAAGAACAAGCAGCCUUGUAGAAUCCUAGUUAUAUUAGGAAGAUAAGUAGAAUAGUGGAUGGAACACUAGAUCUUGAAGUUCAAAUCCUGCCUUAAAUACUUGACCCUAGCCAAGUCAUUUAACCUUCCUUAACUUCACAUUCCUUAUCUGUAAAAUGAGGGGACUAAAGUCAAUGAUCUCUAAAGCCCUCCCAAUUCUAAUUCUAUGAUCUUAUGACCCAUGUUUGCCUUUAAAGCUUGACUCAAAUAUAGAAAACCUAUUCUGGUUCCUUUCCAAUUCUAAGGGUUCUCCACUUAGAAAUUACUUUGCAUCUAUUUUGGAUUUAGUAUGCUAUAAAUAGAUAGUUCCUUUCUCCCUGGCCCCAGGGUAAGUUCCUUGAGAACUGUGACCUUUGUGUCCCCGUUACCUAACAUGGUACAUAGCAAUUUGUUCAAUUAGUUCUGUUUUAUUUGACUCUUUGUGACCUUAUUUGGAAUUUUCUUGGCAAAGAUACUGGAGUAGUUUGCCAUUUCCUUCUCCAACUCCUUUUACAAAUUAGGAAACUGAGGCAAACAGGGCUAAGGAACUUGCCCAGGGUCAUAUAAUAAAUGUCUCGUGUCAGAUAUCAACUAACUAACUUCAAACCUAGCACUUUAUCCACUAUACCAUCUUGCUGACCUACCUGCCACAUAAAAGAUGUUUAAUAAAUGCUUGUUCAAUGAAGGAAACAAGGAAAAAUAUAAGUUCUAGGGUAACUGUGUUGGUAGUGACAAGUUAAUGGUUACAACCAAUUCUUCUGCACCAGAAAAUUCACAUUUAAUUAGUACUUUUAAUUGUUCAAAGUACUUUCAUUUGCAUUGUCUCACUUGAUUCUUAAGAUGGGGCAAAGUUUAUAACUAUUUGGCAAAUGAGGAAACAAAGACACAAGGGUAAACUGCUUGGUUGGGAAAUAGAUGAGAGCUACAGAUUGACUUGGAAUCCAGAAUUCUUUCCACAAUGUCAUUUGAUCAUAUAGAAUCUUUUAGCUUUAACCUUCAAACCUAAUUGUUCCUACUUUGAAAGAGUGAACAAGGUCAUGGUCUAAUAGAAAAAACAUUGAAUUUUAUGAAAGAUAUGGAUUAAAAUCUUAGCUCAACACAUACAUUCAAUUAAAAUUUUAUUAUUCAUAUGGUGCUAGGACUGUCAUAUCAUCUUCUGAGAUUCAUUUUUUUUUUGCCAAAUAAAAAAGAAUGAUAAACUUACAUCUCACAGUGUUAUUAUUAAGAUAGUACUUUGUCUCUUCAAAUCCUAUAUAAACAUAAGCAUUUUUAUUCCCCAAUGUUGCCAGGUACUAUGGGAAUUUCUUCUCCAGCCCCUUGCUAAAUCUAAGAGAGCAGAAUAAACUUCUUAUUGACACUGAAGCACUUCUACACCUGACUUUAGGCAGAAUAUUUUGUGUCUUUCUGGAGGAAUGGAAAUUGAACCCUGGGAUUUUCUUUGCUGUUUCAGAAAACAAAUGAAACCCUGAGAAAAGAUCAAAACACUUAUAAUUUAUUUCUCUCUGUAUACACAGAGUUUAAUGCAUUCCUUGUGAUUCCUUUUUGAGUCAUUCCAAACGUUCUUUGGGGUUAUAGCACACAGUUUGAAAAACACAGUACUAAGAAAAAUGUUUUAUGAAGAGAAGUAAUCUUAUCUUUUGCUUGAAUAUUCUUAUGAUCUGUUCUAUCUAGCUAUCAAAUAGAAACUGCAACAACAGUUGAAGUUUGUAAAUUACUCUUCCUUGAUCACAAAGCUAUUACCAGUCAAAACUAUGACUAAAUCAUGUAAUAUUACCAAUGCAUUUUGAUAUAGUGUUUCAUUUUCUAUUGCCUUUUCUGUUCAGGAAUAUGAAUUUGGCCAACAUAUGCUUAUUUAAUUAAUCUCAUUUCCCCUCAAUUAUGCAUAAAAACAAUUUUAAACAUUUAUUUUCUUUUAAAUUUUGAGUUCCAGAUUCUCUGCCAGCCUUUUCUUCCCCUCCUUGAGAAGAUAAGUAAGUUGUUGUUAUAUAUGUGCAAUCAUGUAUAUUUCCAUAUUAGACAUAUUGCAAAAGAAGACACAGACCUUCCUCAUAAAGAAAAAUAAAGUAAGAAAAAAAGUAUGCUUGUUUCUGUAUUCAGACUCCAUUAAUUCUUUUUUUUUUUUUUCUGGAAAUGGAUAGCAUUUUUCUUCAUGAGACCUUCUGAAUCUUGGAUCAUUGUAUUGUUGAGAAUAGCUAACUCACUCACAGCUGAUCAUUGUAUUACAAUAUUGCUGUUAUUGUGUAUACUGUUCUUCUGGUUCUAUUCACUUCACUUUGCAUUAGUUUGCCUAGUCUCUCCAGGUUUUUCUGACAGCAUCUGUCUCAUCAUUUCUUAUAAUAGCAUAACUUAAUCAAACAUUCCCCAAUUGAUGGAUAUCCCCUCAUUUUCCAGUUCUUUGUCACCACAAAAAAAGUGCUAUAAAUAUUUCUAUAGAUAUAGGUCCUUUUUGGUUUUGUUUUUUCUCUU